rnacentral:rRNA from 1 species
GACGUAGGGCGCGAGCGUUGUCCGGAAUUAUUGGGCGUAAAGAGCUCGUAGGCGGUUUGUCGCGUCUGCUGUGAAAACUCGGGGCUUAACUCCGGGCCUGCAGUGGGUACGGGCAGACUAGAGUGCGGUAGGGGAGACUGGAAUUCCUGGUGUAGCGGUGAAAUGCGCAGAUAUCAGGAGGAACACCGGUGGCGAAGGCGGGUCUCUGGGCCGUAACUGACGCUGAGGAGCGAAAGCCAGGGGAGCAAACGGG